GACGAACGCUGGCGGCGUGCUUAACACAUGCAAGUCGAACGGAAAGGCCCUGCUUUUGUGCGGUGCUCGAGUGGCGAACGGGUGAGUAACACGUGAGUAACCUGCCCUUGACUUUGGGAUAACUUCAGGAAACUGGGGCUAAUACCGGAUAGGAGCUCCUGCUGCAUGGUGGGCGUUGGUAAGUUUCGGUGGUUGGGGAUGGACUCGCGGCUUAUGAGCUUGGUGGGGGGGUAGUGGCAUACCAAGGCUUUGAGGGGUAGCCGGCCUGAGAGGGGGACCGGCCACAUGGGGACUGAGAUACGGCACAGACUCCUACGGGAGGCAGCAGUGGGGAGGAUUGCACAAUAGGCGGAAGGCUGAUGCGACAACGCCGCGUGCGGGAUGACGGGCUUCGGGUUGUAAACCGAUGUCGCCUGUGACGAAGCGUGAGUGACGGUAAUGGGUAAAGAAGCACCGGCUAACUACGUG
rnacentral:rRNA from 1 species